rnacentral:rRNA from 1 species
GACGAAGGUGGCAAGCGUUGUUCGGAUUCACUGGGCAUAAAGGGCGCGUAGGCGGUUCCGAAAGUGGCAUGUGAAAUCCCCCGGCUCAACCGGGGAAGUGCGUGCCAAACUUCGGUGCUAGAGGGCGGUAGGGGGGACUGGAACUCUCGGUGGAGCGGUGAAAUGCGUAGAUAUCGAGAGGAACACCGGUGGCGAAGGCGAGUCCCUGGUCCGCAUCUGACGCUGAGGCGCGAAAGCGUGGGUAGCAAACAGG